UCAAUUCUUUGCUCAACACCCAAGAACCUGCACAACUCUGGUAACAUUUUGGAGAGCCAGCCAAGAGGCUGAAGUUUAUUUCACUUGGCGGGACGCAAAAAGCUUGUAACUGACCUCUGUCCUGUGAAUUCAGGAGUGGAGCUGGGACUUGGCAAAAUAUUACAUAUGUACUCUGAACAGAACAAAAUUCAGAGGAAAUCUUUCUUCUUGGCCUGUGGACA
rnacentral:lncRNA from 1 species